UCAUUCUGCAGAAACAAGGCCAGCGCGAGGAGGCCGAGUCGAUGGCGCAGACGCUGGCGGC
rnacentral:SRP_RNA from 1 species